rnacentral:rRNA from 1 species
UGGUGGAGUGAUUUGUCUGCUUAAUUGCGUUAACGAACGAGACCUUAACCUGCUAAAUAGUCCGGCGUAUCUUCGGAUAUUCUGCUGACUUCUUAGAGGGACUUUGUGUUUUUAAGCGCAAGGAAGUUUGAGGCAAAAACA